GGCGGCGUGCUUAACACAUGCAAGUCGAACGGAAAGGCCCUGCUUGCAAGGGGUACUCGAGUGGCGAACGGGUGAGUAACACGUGGGUGAUCUGCCUUGCACUUCGGGAUAAGCCUGGGAAACUGGGUCUAAUACCGGAUAGGACCAUGCUUUAGUGUGUGUGGUGGAAAGUUUUUUCGGUGCAAGAUGAGCCCGCGGCCUAUCAGCUUGUUGGUGGGGUAAUGGCCUACCAAGGCGACGACGGGUAGCCGGCCUGAGAGGGUGUACGGCCACAUUGGGACUGAGACACGGCCCAGACUCCUACGGGAGGCAGCAGUGGGGAAUAUUGCACAAUGGGCGCAAGCCUGAUGCAGCGACGCCGCGUGGGGGAUGAAGGCCUUCGGGUUGUAAACUCCUUUCGCUAGGGAAGAAGCCACUUGUGGUGACGGUACCUGGA
rnacentral:rRNA from 1 species